UACGGGGGGAGCAAGCGUUGUUCGGAUUUACUGGGCGUAAAGGGCGCGUAGGCGGUCGUGACAAGUCACUUGUGAAAUCUCCGGGCUUAACUCGGAACGGUCAAGUGAUACUGUCGGACUAGAGUACAGAAGGGGCAACUGGAAUUCUCGGUGUAGCGGUGAAAUGCGUUGAUAUCAGAAGGAACGCCGGUGGCGAAAGCGGCGCACUGGACCUCUUCUGACGCUGAGGCGCGAAAGCUAGGGGAGCAAACGGG
rnacentral:rRNA from 1 species